ncrna:unclassified sequences IMES-1 RNA motif
AAUUAUCCGAUCUGGAAACAACUCGAGACGGUAGAAAGAAGAGAUAAAUAAGUUAGAGAACGAAAGUAGAAAGCUCUAAUAAAUAAAGGUACCAAAAAAAUUUAUUAGACCACCAAGAUUAAAAGAGAAAUUAAUCAAGGCGCUAAAAGAAAAAACUCAAUUUUAGACACUUUCGAACUCGAACUAAA